rnacentral:rRNA from 1 species
UACGUAGGGGGCAAGCGUUGUCCGGAAUCAUUGGGCGUAAAGCGCGUGUAGGCGGUUCGGUAAGUCUGCUGUGAAAGUCCAGGGCUCAACCCUGGGAUGCCGGUGGAUACUGUCGGACUAGAGUACGGAAGAGGCGAGUGGAAUUCCCGGUGUAGCGGUGAAAUGCGCAGAUAUCGGGAGGAACACCAAUUGCGAAGGCAGCUCGCUGGGACGUUACUGACGCUGAGACGCGAAAGCGUGGGGGAGCAAACAGGG